rnacentral:rRNA from 1 species
GACGAACGCUGGCGGCGUGCUUAACACAUGCAAGUCGAACGGAAAGGCCCUGCUUUUGUGGGGUGCUCGAGUGGCGAACGGGUGAGUAACACGUGAGUAACCUGCCCAUGACUGUGGGAUAACUUCAGGAAACUGGGGAUAAUACCGGAUAGGAGCUCCUGCUGCAUGGUGGGGGUUGGAAAGUUUCGGCGGUUGGGGAUGGACUCGCGGCUUAUCAGCUUGUUGGUGGGGUAGUGGCUUACCAAGGCUUUGACGGGUAGCCGGCCUGAGAGGGUGACCGGCCACAUUGGGACUGAGAUACGGCCCAGACUCCUACGGGAGGCAGCAGUGGGGAAUAUUGCACAAUGGGCGGAAGCCUGAUGCAGCAACGCCGCGUGCGGGAUGACGGCCUUCGUGUUGUAAACCGCUUUCGCCUGUGACGAAGCGUGAGUGACGGUAAUGGGUAAAGAAGCACCGGCUAACUACGUG